GGAGGAUCAUCUACUUCUGGAUUGCAGUUGACCAUGGGAAACUGAAACCAAGGAAAGCAAAACCACGGAUAAAAGUGUAUACGUAAGUAAGUAAGCAAGCAUGUAGUCCCUGGAUCUACUUGGAACAUUCAGAGGCCAAGAAAGGAGCCAGCUUUAAGAUGAUCUUGCAUAAAACAAAGCAGAGAGUGACAGUGGUGAGCCACCAGAUUAAACCAUGCUUGAAAUGAGACCCAUCUCUGGAUUGUUCAGUCAUGAAUCACAGAGAAAUAAAAUAGAGGGAGAACAUUAUUACAGAAAGAAUACAUGAAUGGUUUCUAGUGUUGAAAGACCUUUCUCUCUAAAUUGAAAUUUCCCAGUACAAUGAAGAAACACACAGCUGCAUCAAAGCAUAUUGACCUGAAAUUUCACAUCACCAGAAAUAAAGAGAACAUCCAGAAAGCUUUCAGAGAUUGGGAGAAACAGGCCACAGGCAAAUGGCCAAAAACUCCAGUAGCAUCAAGAUGUCCAAAGCAAGGAAACUACUAGGAAAUGUGCACUAUAAAAAUGAUGAGGAAAACAAGACAAACAGUUAAGGAAAAAGACAGUAAACCUGAGAGAGGAAUUAACAAUAGUGUUGGGUCAUUGGGACCAGACUGGAACAGAAAGAUGGAGAGUGGAAGGACCCAAGUCUCCAGAAAAAGAAAGAAAAUUGAUAGGUAGCCUGAUGUUCUGAACAUUUGAAAAACAUUCAUUUGCUAGAUCUUAAAAUAUUUGAAAAAUAUGUUUUCAAUGGAUAUGAGUGAAAAAGUCCUGAGAAGACAGUGAUCCUAACAAGAACAGAUUCUUCUAAAGAAAAGAACAGACUUCUGGAUGUUGCUGCUAUUCUGCUGGGUGCAGGAGGCAAAGGAUCAUGUCCUCUAAAGAUAGUUCCUGGGGAGAAUGUUCUGGGUCUUUUUAUUGGUCAAUAAAACUUGUAGGGCAUUCUCUAUAAAAUGUAGCAUUUCAGCUAGAAUUUAACAUAUUCAAAAAUUGUGAACUGUUAGAAUAAAUCACA